AGCGGGGUGGGGCAGUGGUGCUUAAGCAAAACUGCUUAACCCGCCCAUUCAGGAGUGCCCGGAGUGAUUUAUUCCGCAAGGGAUAAUCCUGGAAGGCUCAUAACCCUCAGGUCGGUGGUUCAAAUCCACCCCCCGCUA
rnacentral:tRNA from 1 species